UAAAAGAAAAAGGAAAAUGAUAAUUUGUGAUUUACUAUUAAUAUUCUGUAUGGCAAACCUGAAAUGUGUGACACAUUUGAAUUAGUAUAUAACUAGCGGCACUUUGAUGUGAUGAUUGGUUUGAUGCCAAAAAAGAACAUAUUUUGUCUGUUUAUUUAUUGUUGUUUUAUUCACUUCUAAAAGCGUUAUAAGAGGAAUUAUGAUCUCAUGCAUUUCCAACUCAGUAUAGAAAAAAUGUUCACACUAUAGUAGACUACACUAAAACUUUAGUGAUCUUGGGAGGAUGCUGAAUAUGUAGUGAAGCAUAGUGAAGGAUAGAGAUCGAAAGCUGAGAAUAUUUGCUGGCAAUGAGCACCCAUUCGGUGACAGGCCUAUUGAACCAUAUGUGAUGCCUCCUCGACAAGUACGGGAAAUGCAUCCACGUGCGAGACGAGCCAUGAUUCGAGCACAGAAGAAGGCUGAGCUACAAAAACAGGGUGGUGCAGACACUAGAAAAGGCAAAAAGAAGGAAGAGGAUACAUUAGAAAUAAAUGCAUGAAGAGUAUAGAUUUGAGAGUUGAAGCUUGCUUAUCUAUCCUUUAACUCAGAAGGGUUACAUUGCCAUGGAAGUCAGUCUAGCCUGGCCUUGGAAUUUUUCUCAUGUUAUCUAGAUUUUGCUUGGUUUUUAAUCUUCUGCCUUUGUAGCGAGUCAAAUUGGGCCGAGUUGCCAUGAUGCCAUGAAUGUAGAUAGCUAUGUCCUAAGUUAGUUUACAUUGCUUUCAACUUUUGACAUAGUAUGAUCAAAUUUUAAAUAAUUUGAAGGGGAGAACUUUUCAUU